ensembl:snoRNA SNORD113-5 small nucleolar RNA, C/D box 113-5
CAGAUCAAUGAUGAGUAUCAGUGGAGUUACCUGAAUCAACACCUUUGAUGAAGUCCUCUGUGUAGCUUUGAGGUCCGU